rnacentral:tRNA from 1 species
GCUGUGAUGGUGUAAGGGUUUAUCAUCUACGCUUCCCAUGUCUUUACCCUUGAGCAUGCGUAGGAACCGAGUUCGAGUCUCGGUCACAGCA